AAGGGGCCCCAAAGGACAUCCAGCCCAACCCCCUUCUGCCUUUAGGAAAGAAAGGCACCACCCAAUCCCUCCUGACAGAUGGCCCUUCAUCCUUGGAAAGAGCCUCCAUUGGACGCUCAGGCAGAGAGUUCCAGUGUUGAAUGGAUGGAGAGAUAGAAUAGGUAGAUAGAAGAUUGAAUAGGUAGUGAGGGAUAUAGAUAGAUAGAUAGAUAGGAUGGAUGAAUAGAAGGAUGAAUAGAUAGGAUGGAUAGAUAGGAUGGAUGGAUGGAUGAGUAAGUAGAUAGAAGUAUGAAUAGGCAGAUAUGUAGGUAGGUAGAUAGGUAGGUUAGAUGGAUGGAUGAAUGAAUGAAUGAGUAGGUAGAUAGAAGGAUGAAUAGGUAGCGAGGGAUGUAGAUAGAUAGAUAGAUAGAUAGAUAGAUAGGAUGAGUAAGUAGAAGGAUGAAUAGAUAGAUAGGAUGGAUGGAUGGAUAAGUAGAAGGAUGAAUAGAUCAGUAGAUAGGAUGGAUGGAUGGAUGGAUGGAUGAGUACGUAGAAAGAAGGAUGAAUAGGCAGAUAUGUAGGUAGGUAGGUUAGAUGGAUGAAUGAAUGAAUGAGUAGGUAGAAGGAUGAAUAGGUAGUGAGGGAUAUAGAUAGAUAGAUAGAUAGAUAGAUAGAUAGAUAGAUAAAUAGGAUGAAUAGGAUGAAUAGAUAGGAUGGAUAGAUAGGAUGGAUGGAUGGAUGAGUAAGUAGAUAGAAGGAUGAAUAGGCAGAUAUGUAGGUAGGUAGAUAGGUAGGUUAGAUGGAUGGAUGAAUGAAUGAGUAGGUAGAUAGAAGGAUGAAUAGGUAGCGAGGGAUGUAGAUAGAUAGAUAGAUAUAUAGAUAGGAUGAGUAAGUAGAAGGAUGAAUAGAUAGAUAGGAUGGAUGGAUGGAUAAGUAGAAGGAUGAAUAGAUCAGUAGAUAGGAUGGAUGGAUGGAUGGAUGAGUACGUAGAAAGAAGGAUGAAUAGGCAGAUAGGUAGGUAGGUAGGUAGGUUAGAUGGAUGGAUGAAUGAAUGAGUAGGUAGAUAGAAGGAUGAAUAGGUAGCGAGGGAUGUAGAUAGAUAGAUAGAUAGAUAGAUAGAUAGGAUGAGUAAGUAGAAGGAUGAAUAGAUAGAUAGGAUGGAUGGAUGGAUAAGUAGAAGGAUGAAUAGAUCAGUAGAUAGGAUGGAUGGAUGGAUGGAUGAGUACGUAGAAAGAAGGAUGAAUAGGCAGAUAUGUAGGUAGGUAGGUAGGUUAGAUGGAUGAAUGAAUGAAUGAGUAGGUAGAUAGAAGGAUGAAUAGGUAGUGAGGGAUAUAGAUAGAUAGAUAGGAUGGAUGAAUAGAAGGAUGAAUAGAUAGGAUGGAUGGAUGGAUGAGUAAGUAGAUAGAAGUAUGAAUAGGCAGAUAUGUAGGUAGGUAGAUAGGUAGGUUAGAUGGAUGGAUGAAUGAAUGAGUAGGUAGAUAGAAGGAUGAAUAGGUAGUGAGGGAUAUAGAUAGAUAGAUAGGAUGGAUGAAUAGAAGGAUGAAUAGAUAGGAUGGAUGGAUGGAUGAGUAAGUAGAUAGAAGUAUGAAUAGGCAGAUAUGUAGGUAGGUAGAUAGGUAGGUUAGAUGGAUGGAUGAAUGAAUGAAUGAGUAGGUAGAUAGAAGGAUGAAUAGGUAGCGAGGGAUGUAGAUAGAUAGAUAGAUAGAUAGAUAGAUAGAUAGAUAGAUAGAUAGAUAGAUAGGAUGGUUGAAUAGGAUGAGUAAGUAGAAGGAUGGAUAGAUAGAUAGGAUGGAUGGAUGGAUAAGUAGAAGGAUGAAUAGAUCAGUAGAUAGGAUGGAUGGAUGGAUGGAUGAGUAUGUAGAAAGAAGGAUGAAUAGGCAGAUAUGUAGGUAGGUAGGUAGGUUAGAUGGAUGAAUGAAUGAAUGAAUGAAUGAGUAGGUAGAUAGAAGGAUGAAUAGGUAGCGAGGGAUGUAGAUAGAUAGAUAGAUAGAUAGAUAGAUAGAUAGAUAGAUAGGAUGAGUAAGUAGAAGGAUGAAUAGAUAGAUAGGAUGGAUGGAUGGAUAAGUAGAAGGAUGAAUAGAUCAGUAGAUAGGAUGAAUGGAUGGAUGGAUGAGUACAUAGAAAGAAGGAUGAAUAGGCAGAUAUGUAGGUAGGUAGGUAGGUUAGAUGGAUGAAUGAAUGAAUGAGUAGGUAGAUAGAAGGAUGAAUAGGUAGUGAGGGAUAUAGAUAGAUAGAUAGGAUGGAUGAAUAGAAGGAUGAAUAGAUAGGAUGGAUAGAUAGGAUGGAUGGAUGAGUAAGUAGAUAGAAGGAUGAAUAGGCAGAUAUGUAGGUAGGUAGAUAGGUAGGUUAGAUGGAUGGAUGAAUGAAUGAAUGAGUAGGUAGAUAGAAGGAUGAAUAGGUAGUGAGGGAUGUAGAUAGAUAGAUAGAUAGAUAGAUAGAUAGAUAGAUAGAUAGAUAGAUAGAUAGGAUGAGUAAGUAGAAGGAUGAAUAGAUAGAUAGGAUGGAUGGAUAGAUAGAUGGAUGAGUAAGUAGGUAGGUAAAUAGAUAGGUUAGAUGGAUGGAUGAAUGAAUGAAUGAAUGAAUGAAUGAAUGAACAGGUAGAUAAAAGGAUGAAUAGGUAGCGAGGGAUGCAGAUAGUUAGAUAGGAUGGAUGAGUAAGUAGAAGGAUGACUAGAUAGGUAGGAUGGAUGGAUGGAUGGAUGGAUGGAUGGAUGGAUGGAUGGAUGGAUAAGUAGAAGGAUGAAUCGAUAGGUAGGUAGGUAGAUAGAUAGUAAAUAGUAAAUGAGUAAGUAGAAGGAUGAAUAGGCAGAUAUGUAGGUAGGUAGGUAGGUAGGUAGAUAAGUAGAUAGAUGGGUUAGAUGGAUGAAUGGAUGAAUGAAUGAAUGAAUGAAUGAGUAGGUAGAUAGAAUGAUGAAUAGGUAGCAAGGGAUGCAGAUAGAUAGGUAGAUAGGAUGGAUGGAUGGAUAAGUAGAAGGAUGAAUAGAUAGGUAGAUAGAUAGAUGGAUGAGUAAAUAGAUAGAAGGAUGAAUAGGCAGAUAUGUAGGUAGGCAGGCAGGUAGGUAUAGAUAGAUAAGUUAGAUGGAUGGAUGAAUGAAUGAAUGAGUAGGUAGAUAGAAGGAUGAAUAGGCAGAUACGUAGGUAGGCAGGCAGGUAGGUAUAGCUAGAUAAGUUAGAUGGAUGGAUGAAUGAAUGAAUGAAUGAGUAGGUAGAUAGAAGGAUGAAUAGGUAGAUAGAUAGACAAGGAGUAGUUGCUGGUAGGAUAGAUAGGAUAGAUAUCCCAUAUCCCUCUUGAAUGGCUUUGCCCAAAGCAGCAGGGAGGGGCCCCACGACGUCCCUCGCCUAGCAUGGCCUUGGCCCUUUUGUGCUGCUGCGUC